rnacentral:rRNA from 1 species
UACGUAGGGGGCAAGCGUUGUCCGGAAUUAUUGGGCGUAAAGCGCACGCAGGCGGUUCGCUAAGUUCGAAGUGACAAUCAACGGCUUAACCGGUGAACGAUUUCGAAAACUGGCGGGCUUGAGAGCGAGAGAGGGACCUGGAACUCCGGGAGGAGCGGUGAAAUGCGUAGAGAUCCGGAAGAACACCACUGGCGAAGGCAGUGUCCUGGCUCGUAUCUGACGCUGAGGUGCGAAAGCUAGGGGAGCGAACGGG